rnacentral:lncRNA from 1 species
AGAAAUUUAUGAAGCACGAAUUGUUUGAUUUGACUAUGAGUAGAACGCCUAAUAACAAUAUGAAACAUGGAAAUGAAGCAAAUAGAAUACAGUGUGGAAGCACAAGCGUGUAACUGUUUAAGCAAAUUGUUGAAGAAACACAUCUAUGGUGCUUAUGAAGCAAAUUAAACACAGUGUAGAAGCACAAGCGUGAAAGAUAUGAAGCAAAUUGUUGAAGAAACACAAGUACGGUGCAUAUUAUGAAACAAACUAAGUGUAUAAGCAUGAAAUUUUGGAAGUAUCAUACUGUAUCAUGCAAUCCAACAUAAUAUCAUAGUGGAAGCAUAAAUUUUUAAAAGUGGGAAUAACAAAAUAUUUCUAGGUAGUCAUUAAAACUCAGAUCAUCAAGGGAGUUGAUGCGCAUAUUGUCCAUGAUAUAUGUGAAAUUAGGGAAGCAAGAAUUGGUUGUUGAAAAAAAACAGGAUGACUACGUAGUACAUACACGUACGAAGCAUGUGAAACUCAAAAUGAAAAAGCACGGCACGUAUGUAGCAUGUCAUAUGGACGAGCGAUGCAUCGUCCUGUUGCCGUUGUGAAGGGACGCCCUCCUCUGCAGCGUUAGUGAGGCUCCUUGGUGCGCCGAUGUUGAAGGCCUACACACGGGUAAGUUAGCGAAUGCGCUACAGCAAGAUAGGAACGGAAGGGUGAAAUCAUGUCCAGAUCGGAGAGGUGCUCACCAUGAUCAGGUCCAGACAAAGAAGGCCACCAUGCUCGCC